UAUUAAUACAUUUUAAUUAAUUUAAUUUAAUUAAAUGAAACCAGUAUAAUUACCAGUUGAGUAGAUAUUUCAUCCGAUUGGUAGUCUCAGGAAUUUAUUUGGAUGUGUCUCUGCAUGGAGGUUGGAGUCCCCAAACUUCCAAUUCCUCUCUUUUCUCUCCUUUGCAUAUCUUGCAUCUGCCUCCUUCGUCUUGUCUCUCUAUCUUCCCUUUGUCUUAACUUUUAAAGGGCCAUACUCUCUGUACGUCAUCAGUUGAUAACCCAAUAGAAGCACUAGAGGUGUGGUUAUCUUCCAGAUCGCAAAUUAGUUAUUUGGUCUGUAGAGGGCAGUCUUGCC